rnacentral:rRNA from 1 species
GUCCACGCCCUAAACGAUGUCAACUGGUUGUUGGACGGCUUGCUGUUCAGUAACGAAGCUAACGCGUGAAGUUGACCGCCUGGGGAGUACGGCCGCAAGGUUGAAACUCAAAGGAAUUGACGGGUACCCGCACAAUCGGUGGAUGAUGUGGUUUAAUUCGAUGCAACGCGAAAACCUUACCUACCCUUGACAUGUCUGGAAUUUUGCAGAGAUGUGAAAGUGCUCGAAAGAGAACCAGAACACAGGUGCUGCAUGGCCGUCGU